GAGCCACAAUGGAAACUCCCCUGGGAGACUGCUGAUCCUCCGCUGAGAAGUGUGAGGCCAAGAACCAAUUAGCUCAUACAUCCUUCUAACUCUGACUCCAUACAACUCUACCUGUCAGGUGGCACACAGAGGUCAGAUUCCUUCUAUUUGAUGAUCCCAAACAAACAACCUAAAACCCACAAGAACAGCUUUCACAUACAGCUCCAAGAACAACUUGUAUGAGAUGAUAACUGAAACCAGGAUCGAAUCCAUUUGAGGGGCUUGGCCUAACUUCGUUAUUCAUAUGAAACAAUGAGUUGAUGUUUCUGGACACCAGGUCACAGGAAGAAAAUAAAACAAAGAAAGAAAAGCUUCUCUACUAGUCCUUCAGUUUCCACUUAGAACAAUAUUAAGCAACACUCAGAUUUUAUUCUGGUCUUCUAUGGGCAAAAUUCCUUCUAUACCUCCUAAGAGUGUGAAGGCAUUGGCAUAGAAAGUUUUGCCCAUAAUGGGGUGGCAGCUGCAAACCACAAUGUCCUAACCCUUUUCCCCACAGUUGAAGCAUUUCAAUCCUCAAUCACCAGCAAAUAUGACAUGUUCCUUUGGCUAUAACCUGUGUAAUUUAUCUUUCUGGGCAAGGUACCCAAAGUCUUGGAGGGAAGAAAUGAAGAAAGUGACACCAAUGCUAACACUGUGUCCCUAUUAUUUAGUUACUUUAUUAGAGUUUCCCUAACUCCGCUGCACAAAGGGAAGAGUAAGCUACAGAAAACUAAGUGGCUUUGUCAUCAAAAGCUUUCUCCACACUGGCACACAAACACCUGUCAGUGCAAAAGAUGCCUCUUUAUCAAGCCUUCAUACCUACCAGGAGCCAAGCACACUCUGAGCUUUCAGACUAUUUUCUUCCAAUGUUUUGAAGUCCCUUUCAGUUCACAUGAAGGCUAACGAUUUCAAAAAGGUGGGGAAAGGAAAAAGAAAGUUCUUUUUUAAGAAAAAGGCAAAGAUACCAUGCCAUGAUUAUGAAGUCCUAAAAGCUUUUUAGCUGACAGUGUAGGCUUUGUUGAAUAGCCUCUAAGAACCUCCACUGAGACGCACAAUUCAGCAAUAAAAUAGAGGCAGAGCAUACA
rnacentral:lncRNA from 1 species